CAUGCGAGUCGAGGGGCAGCACAGUGUAGCAAUACAUGGGUGGCGACCGGCGCAAGGGUGCGUAACGCGUGAGUAACAUGCCCGUAUCAGGAGGAUAACCCGGAGAAAUCCGGACUAAUACUGCAUAAUAUUUUCAGACGGCAUCGUUUGGGAAUUAAAGUUUCGACGGAUACGGAUUGGCUCGCGUGACAUUAGCUAGAUGGAGAGGUAACGGCUCCCCAUGGCGACGAUGUCUAGGGGUUCUGAGAGGAAGGUCCCCCACACUGGAACUGAGACACGGUCCAGACUCCUACGGGAGGCAGCAGUGAGGAAUAUUGGACAAUGGAUGGAAAUCUGAUCCAGCCAUGCCGCGUGCAGGACUACAGUCCUAUGGAUUUUAAACUGCUUUUGUAUGGGAGCAAUAAGUGCUACGAGUAGCGCGAUGAGAGUACCAUACGAAUAAGCAUCGGCUAACUCCGUG
rnacentral:rRNA from 1 species